rnacentral:rRNA from 1 species
GACGAACGCUGGCGGCGUGCCUAAUACAUGCAAGUUGAGCGCUGAAGGUUGGUACUUGUACCAACUGGAUGAGCAGCGAACGGGUGAGUAACGCGUGGGGAAUCUGCCUUUGAGCGGGGGACAACAUUUGGAAACGAAUGCUAAUACCGCAUAAAAACUUUAAACACAAGUUUUAAGUUUGAAAGAUGCAAUUGCAUCACUCAAAGAUGAUCCCGCGUUGUAUUAGCUAGUUGGUGAGGUAAAGGCUCACCAAGGCGAUGAUACAUAGCCGACCUGAGAGGGUGAUAGGCCACAUUGGGACUGAGACACGGCCCAAACUCCUACGGGAGGCAGCAGUAGGGAAUCUUCGGCAAUGGACGAAAGUCUGACCGAGCAACGCCGCGUGAGGGAAGAAGGUUGUCGGACCGUAAAACUCUGUUGGUAGAGAAGAACGUUGGUGAGAGUGGAAAGCUCAUCAAGUGACGGUAACUACCCAGAAAGGGACGGCUAACUACGUG